AUGAACGCUGGCGGCGUGCUUAACACAUGCAAGUCGAACGGAAAGGCUCCUGCUUGCAGGGGUACUCGAGUGGCGAACGGGUGAGUAACACGUGGGUGAUCUGCCCUGCACUUCGGGAUAAGCCUGGGAAACUGGGUCUAAUACCGGAUAGGACGAUGGUUUGGAUGCCAUUGUGGAAAGUUUUUCGGUGUGGGAUGAGCUCGCGGCCUAUCAGCUUGUUGGUGGGGUAAUGGCCUACCAAGGCGUCGACGGGUAGCCGGCCUGAGAGGGUGUACGGCCACAUUGGGACUGAGAUACGGCCCAGACUCCUACGGGAGGCAGCAGUGGGGAAUAUUGCACAAUGGGCGCAAGCCUGAUGCAGCGACGCCGCGUGGGGGAUGACGGCCUUCGGGUUGUAAACUCCUUUCGCUAGGGACGAAGCGCAAGUGACGGUACCUGGAGAAGAAGCACCGGCUAACUACGU
rnacentral:rRNA from 1 species